GAGGUUGUAGUGUAACGGUAGCAUCCCUGGCUUUUACCCAGGUGGGUGUAGGUUCAAAUCCUUCCGGCCUCA
rnacentral:tRNA from 1 species